UCAAUUUCCAGUUUUGAGUCUUCCUUGGAGCUCGAAUUUGAGGACCCAUUUUCUAGGGUUUUGGUGCAAUCUUGAGGUCUUGGAAAAGAACCGGUGGACGACAGUCCACCUCAACUUUGAAAGUUGCUAGAGGAGCAUUUUCCUUGUUAUUUUGUAAUAGACUACUCCUUUGUUCAUCCCUCAUUUUUUGUAAAAUUCCAAAGGUGUAAUGAUGUAAAUUUCUUUUGAAGAACCAUGAUCAUGUAAUACACUUAUGAUACUUGAUGACAUAUGGGAUGCGAACUUGAUGAUAUGUAACUUGUUGAUGAAUGGAAGGAUAAUCCUAGCUUGAAGCAUUGUCUAGAUUA